UACGGGGGGAGCAAGCGUUGUUCGGAUUUACUGGGCGUAAAGGGCGCGUAGGCGGCCUGUGCAAGUCAGUUGUGAAAUCUCCGGGCUUAACUCGGAACGGUCAACUGAUACUGCUCGGCUAGAGUGCGGAAGGGGCAACUGGAAUUCUUGGUGUAGCGGUGAAAUGCGUAGAUAUCAAGAGGAACACCUGCGGCGAAGGCGGUUUGCUGGGCCGACACUGACGCUGAAGUGCGAAAGCUAGGGGAGCGAACGGG
rnacentral:rRNA from 1 species